rnacentral:rRNA from 1 species
GACGAACGCUGGCGGCGUGCUUAACACAUGCAAGUCGAACGGUGAAGCGCCUUCCUUUUUGGUGGGUGUGGAUGAGUGGCGAACGGGUGAGUAACACGUGAGUAACCUGCCCCCUUCUUCUGGAUAACCGCAUGAAAGUGUGGCUAAUACGGGAUAUUCUGGGUCUGUCGCAUGAUGGGUCUGGGAAAGAUAUUGUUUCGGUGGUGGAUGGGUUCGCGGCCUAUCAGCUUGUUGGUGGGGUGAUGGCCUACCAAGGCGGUGACGGGUAGCCGGCCUGAGAGGGUGGACGCACACGAUGGGACUGAGACACGGCCCAGACUCCGGCGGGAGGAAGCAGUGGUGAAUAUUGCACGAUGGGCGCAAGACUGAUGAAGCGAGGGCGCGCGAGGGAUGGAGGCCUUCGGGUUGUGACCCUUUUUCGCCAGUAAAGCAGGUCUGCCUCGUUUGUGGGUGGGUUGACGGUAGCUGGAUAAGAAGCGCCGGUAAACUAGGU